ensembl:misc_RNA 7SK 7SK RNA
AAAUGUGAGGGCGAUCUGGCUGCGACAUCUGUCACUCCAUUGAUCACCAGAGUUGAUUCAGCUGAUCUGGCUGGCUAGGUGGGUGUCCCCUUCCUCCCUCACCGCUCCAUGUGAGUUCCCCCAGAAGCUAUGUACUUGGUCGAAGAGGACAACUUUGUCUGAAUAGGUCUCCGGUCUUUGCACUUCUCUACUAGAACCUCCAGCCAAGCUCUCUAGACUGAGGAUAGCUAAUCUAUAAGGAAAUCAGUGUCAUAGUGAUAAAUGUAACAAUUUGAUAA